rnacentral:rRNA from 1 species
UACGGAAAGGCAGCAGUGGGGAAUAUUGCACAAUGGGCGCAAGCCUGAUGCAGCCAUGCCGCGUGUAUGAAGAAGGCCUUCGGGUUGUAAAGUACUUUCAGUCGUGAGGAAGGUGUUAAGGUUAAUAACCUUAGCAAUUGACGUUAGCGACAGAAGAAGCACCGGCUAACUCCGUGCCAGCAGCCGCGGUAAUACGGAGGGUGCGAGCGUUAAUCGGAAUUACUGGGCGUAAAGGGCACGCAGGCGGUUAAUUAAGUUGGAUGUGAAAUCCCCGGGCUUAACCUGGGAAUGGCAUUCAAGACUGGUUAGCUAGAGUCUUGUAGAGGGGGUAGAAUUCCAUGUGUAGCGGUGAAAUGCGUAGAGAUGUGGAGGAAUACCGGUGGCGAAGGCGGCCCCUGGGACAAAGGCUGACGCUCAUGUGCGAAAGCGUGGGGAGCGAAACAGGGAUUAGAUACC